rnacentral:lncRNA from 1 species
AUUCCCUUAUACAUUAGAACUAACACUGGUUUAUUCUUCCUUUACCUAGAAUUAGAGAAAUCAUGUUCAAAGAAGAUGGACCCUAAGUUAUUCCAAAUAGAGAGAUUCUUCUCUAAAACCUUGGACACAUGUGGGAUACUGGAUGUAAAGAGUUAUCCACCCUAGUAUGUUGUACACCAGAGUUCCCUGAGGAGGUACCUGUGUAUGAAGAACCAUAUGGAAGGAAAUUACUCAUUUGGUAAUAACUGUAAGAGGACCUAAUGUCAUUCAUUUAACAUUGAGUUUCUCUAGCUUUUGAUGGGGUUUAUGAUCUUACGCCUGAAAAUUGAGUUGAACUGUUUAUUCCUUCCUUCGCAUUCUAUUUUGUUUCCUUGAAAGAGGACUCCAGUUUUCCUAAGCAAGAAGAUAAAGGACAUGAACUGACAGAUCAAGCCUACAUGACCAGUCACACA